GACAUACUCCCUCCGUCCGGAAAUAUUUGUCAUCAAAAUGAAUAAAAAUGGAUGUAUCUAGAUGUACUUUAGUUCUAGAUACAUCCUUUUUGUUUAUUUUGAUGACAAGUAUUUUUGAACGGAGGGAGUAUAUG
rnacentral:pre_miRNA from 1 species